GGCCGUGUAGCCUAAUGGAUAGGGCGUCGGACUUCGGAUCCGGAGAUUGCGGGUUCGAGUCCCGUCAUGGUCA
rfam:Drosophila virilis strain TSC#15010-1051.87 Ctg01_13837, whole genome shotgun sequence.